rnacentral:rRNA from 1 species
ACGAACGCUGGCGGCAGGCUUCACACAUGCAAGUCGCGCGCAUCCUUCGGGGUGAGCGGCGGACGGGUGAGUAACGCGUGGGAACGUGCCCUCUUCUACGGAAUAGCCUCGGGAAACUGAGAGUAAUGCCGUAUACGCCCGCAAGGGGAAAGAUUUAUCGGAGGAGGAUCGGCCCGCGUUGGAUUAGGUAGUUGGUGGGGUAACGGCCUACCAAGCCGACGAUCCAUAGCUGGUUUGAGAGGAUGAUCAGCCUCACUGGGACUGAGACACGGCCCAGACUCCUACGGGAGGCAGCAGUGGGGAAUCUUGGACAAUGGGGGCAACCCUGAUCCAGCCAUGCCGCGUGAUCGAUGAAGGCCUUAGGGUUGUAAAGAUCUUUCAGCUGGGAAGAUAAUGACGGUACCAGCAGAAGAAGCCCCGGCUAACUCCGUG